rnacentral:lncRNA from 1 species
GUGAUUCUUGCCUCUCAGCAUUCACACCUCUAUGUAAUCACCCUCUGGACUGCAUAGAGCUAGUGUGAUAUCGUAGAAAUGGUUUGGUGUAAUUUUCUAAGAUUAGGCCAUUAAAGACCCUGGGGUUUCUACCUUGCUCUUGGCUGUCUAGGAUCACUUGUUUUGGGAGAGUCACCUGCCAAGCCAUAAGGAUGCUUGCUUAGCCUCAUGGUGAAAUCAACAUGGCUCAGAACUGGAUCCUCCCAGUAACAACCAAUGCCAAUGUGCCAGGCAUGGAAUUAGCCACCUUGGAAGUAGAUCUUCAGCCUCUGCCAAGUCUUCAAAUGACUGCAGCCCCAGAUGAUGUCAUGACUGCCACAUCAUAAGAGAUUCUGAGCCAGAACCACCUGGGUAAGCUGGUUCUGAUUUCCUGACCCCCAGAAACUAUGGGAUAGUUAUUUUUUUUUAUAUUAAGCCACUAUAUUUUAGGGUAACUUAUUAUGCAGCAAUAGCUGAAUAAUACUCUAUCCUGAUAUGUUAUUGUCCUUCUGCUUUCUUUGUCUGCUCCUCCAACAUCAGAUGAUUGAGAAGGCAGGGUCUAGGGGCAGUGUCAUUGGGAAGGAAGAGGGAUGCUGAGGGCUAUAGACAGAGUCAUCAAUUUGUACAUGAAUGGCAUAAUGGUGUUCCCCGUGGUAAGACUGAUUGGUGGAUGCAUGGAUGGAUGGAUGGAUUUUGGGGUACUGGGGAUUGAACUCAGGGGUACUCAACCACUGAGCCACAUCCCCAGCCCUAUUUUGUAUGUUAUUUAGAGGAAGAAUGUCACUGAGUUGCUUAGCACCUUGCUUUUGCUGAGGCUGGCUUUGAACUGGUGAUCCUCCUGUCUCAGCCUCCCCAGCUACAGGGAUUAUGGGUGUGUGCCACCACAUCCAGCUAUUUAUUUAUUUUUAAUUAAUUAUUAUUUUUUGGUGAGUAAGAAGCAUGGAAUAGCUGCUAGAGUGAUUGAAAGGCAAUGCAAAAACCAAAACCCAGGACAGAAUGAAUGUAUGGUGAUAUAUAGUGAUCUGACCUUUGGGGCUCUUGUCUUUAUCAAUUCUCUGUGGCCUAGGGGCAGAAAUGAUGAAACCAGCCAGCAUUUGAGGAAAAAUUCACCAAUGGGCAGGGCACUGGCAGGGAGGAUUGAUGUUCCUCAUAGCAACACUUGUAUAAUUUCUUCUAUGUGAACAUUGGCUAGUGAUUUAUAUUACAAAAUUGCCAAUAUUUGACCACUUUGACCUACCAAAAAAAGUCAGUUUCAUACAGUUCAACUGAAGUUAGUUCUGUAAGGGUAAAUCCACAUCUUCCUUGUGGAGGUUGGGAUGGCUGAGAUCAUGGAUGGGAAGAAGCAGGUCUAUCAAAAAAAUACAUUGUGAGGAAAAAAAAAUGAAAAAAAACUCUUAGGGUGAAAGGGGAUUUCUUUUGAAUGCCCUCUAUUUUCCCUGUGCCUGGAACAAAGUAAACUUCUUAAAAUCUGCAAUUGUAGUUGUUUUUCUUUUUCUUUUUGUAGUUCCAGAAAUUUUAGCUAUAAAUAACAGAAACUUGACACCUAACUAAAACUGAUAGGAAAAUGUAUUCAUUCACUUAUCAAAGAGAAGGGAGAUAGGUUCCAAGUUAGUAGUUUAGAGUUUGAACAGUAAUAUUGAAACCUAGAUCCUAUUUUUUUUUUACUCUGCUUCUUAGUGCUGUUUUGUUUAUUUUCUUUUUUCAUGGAAACAGUUGGGCUUCAUGCUUUCUUCUUUGUGUCCCACAGCAGAAAAGGUGAUUUCCUGUGAAUUUCUCUUAAGGAUAAAAAAGUAUCCUAGAAGCUUUUAGCAAACCUCUUCUCAUUUUACAGAACUGAGUUACAUACCCAUUGUAAGUCAAAUUUCCACUGCUGUGACCAAAAUACUGUACCAGAACAACUUAAAGGAGGAAAAGUUUAUUUGGGGCUCACUGUUCCAGAGUUCUCAGUCCAUAGACGCCAACUCCAUUGCUGUGGGCCCGAGGUGAGCCAGCACAUCAUGACAGAAGGGAGUGGUAGAGGGAAGCUACUCAGGACCUGACAGCGGGAAGCAGAGAGGUGGGGAAGGGACCACAGGGAAAAUGAAUAAUGGCUCUCACAGCCCAAUCAUUUCACUUCUAAAUAUUCCUUCAUUAACCCAGGAGCUUUGGGGGGAUGCCUUUUAUCCAAACGAGAGCGCCUGUUCUUUAACAGGGCACUAUGAAGGAGAUGGAAUCAUACUUAUACUCUUCAGAACCAUCCCUGGAGCAAAAGGUCAAUUUUCCGAAUACAUUUGGGUAACAGGCAGAUGGAGGAGUCACACAGUGUCUGUUUUGAUCUACACCUGCCUGUGUGCCUUUCACAGUGCACACAAUUCCGUUUCCUGUGUGUCCUUCCAAAGAUAUACAUUUUACUUAUCUGUUUUUAGUGCUCCACUAGCAUUAAAGUCUUUUUUAUGAUUGUUAUUUUUGGUCUUUCC